rnacentral:rRNA from 1 species
GGGCUUCGGCCUGGCGGCGAGUGGCGAACGGGUGAGUAAUAUAUCGGAACGUGCCCAAGAGUGGGGGAUAACGUAGCGAAAGUUACGCUAAUACCGCAUACGAUCCACGGAUGAAAGCAGGGGACCUUCGGGCCUUGUGCUCCUGGAGCGGCCGAUAUCUGAUUAGCUAGUUGGUGAGGUAAAGGCUCACCAAGGCGACGAUCAGUAGCUGGUCUGAGAGGACGACCAGCCACACUGGAACUGAGACACGGUCCAGACUCCUACGGGAGGCAGCAGUGGGGAAUUUUGGACAAUGGGGGCAACCCUGAUCCAGCAAUGCCGCGUGAGUGAAGAAGGCCUUCGGGUUGUAAAGCUCUUUUGUCAGGGAAGAAAAGGUCGUGGCUAAUAUCCACGGCUCAUGACGGUACCUGAAGAAUAAGCACCGGCUAACUACGUGCCAGCAGCCGCGGUAAUACGUAGGGUGCAAGCGUUAAUCGGAAUUACUGGGCGUAAAGCGUGCGCAGGCGGUUUUGUAAGUCUGUCGUGAAAUCCCCGGGCUUAACCUGGGAAUGGCGAUGGAGACUGCAAGGCUGGAAUCUGGCAGAGGGGGGUAGAAUUCCACGUGUAGCAGUGAAAUGCGUAGAGAUGUGGAGGAACACCGAUGGCGAAGGCAGCCCCCUGGGCUAAGAUUGACGCUCAUGCACGAAAGCGUGGGGAGCAAACAGGAUUAGAUACCCUGGUAGUCCACGCCCUAAACGAUGUCUACUAGUUGUCGGGUCUUAAUUGACUUGGUAACGCAGCUAACGCGUGAAGUAGACCGCCUGGGGAGUACGGUCGCAAGAUUAAAACUCAAAGGAAUUGACGGGGACCCGCACAAGCGGUGGAUGAUGUGGAUUAAUUCGAUGCAACGCGAAAAACCUUACCUACCCUUGACAUGGCAGGAACCUUGGAGAGAUCUGAGGGUGCUCGAAAGAGAACCUGCACACAGGUGCUGCAUGGCUGUCGUCAGCUCGUGUCGUGAGAUGUUGGGUUAAGUCCCGCAACGAGCGCAACCCUUGUCAUUAGUUGCUACGCAAGAGCACUCUAAUGAGACUGCCGGUGACAAACCGGAGGAAGGUGGGGAUGACGUCAAGUCCUCAUGGCCCUUAUGGGUAGGGCUUCACACGUCAUACAAUGGUACAUACAGAGGGCCGCCAACCCGUGAGGGGGAGCUAAUCCCAGAAAGUGUAUCGUAGUCCGGAUUGUAGUCUGCAACUCGACUACAUGAAGUUGGAAUCGCUAGUAAUCGCGGAUCAGCAUGUCGCGGUGAAUACGUUCCCGGGUCUUGUACACACCGCCCGUCACACCAUGGGAGCGGGUUUUACCAGAAGUAGGU